AGCGAACGCUGGCGGCAGGCUUAACACAUGCAAGUCGAGCGGGCGUAGCAAUACGUCAGCGGCAGACGGGUGAGUAACGCGUGGGAACGUACCUUUUGGUUCGGAACAACUGAGGGAAACUUCAGCUAAUACCGGAUAAGCCCUUACGGGGAAAGAUUUAUCGCCGAAAGAUCGGCCCGCGUCUGAUUAGCUAGUUGGUGAGGUAACGGCUCACCAAGGCGACGAUCAGUAGCUGGUCUGAGAGGAUGAUCAGCCACAUUGGGACUGAGACACGGCCCAAACUUCUACGGGAGGCAGCAGUGGGGAAUAUUGGACAAUGGGCGAAAGCCUGAUCCAGCCAUGCCGCGUGAGUGAUGAAGGCCCUAGGGUUGUAAAGCUCUUUUGUGCGGGAAGAUAAUGACGGUACCGCAAGAAUAAGCCCCGGCUAACUUCGUGCCAGCAGCCGCGGUAAU
rnacentral:rRNA from 1 species